rnacentral:rRNA from 1 species
GAUGAACGCUGGCGGCGUGCCUAAUACAUGCAAGUCGAGCGAACAGACGAGGAGCUUGCUCCUCUGACGUUAGCGGCGGACGGGUGAGUAACACGUGGAUAACCUACCUAUAAGUCUGGGAUAACUUCGGGAAACCGGAGCUAAUACCGGAUAAUAUAUUGAACCGCAUGGUUCAAUAGUGAAAGACGGUUUUGCUGUCACUUAUAGAUGGAUCCGCGCCGCAUUAUCUAGUUGGUAAGGUAACGGCUUACCAAGGCAACGAUGCGUAGCCGACCUGAGAGGGUGAUCGGCCACACUGGAACUGAGACACGGUCCAGACUCCUACGGGAGGCAGCAGUAGGGAAUCUUCCGCAAUGGGCGAAAGCUUGACGGAGCAACGCCGCGUGAGUGAUGAAGGUCUUCGGAUCGUAAAACUCUGUUAUUAGGGAAGAACAAAUGUGUAAGUAACUAUGCACGUCUUGACGGUACCUAAUCAGAAAGCCACGGCUAACUACGUG